CUACGGGCGGCUGCAGUGGGGAAUAUUGGACAAUGGGCGCAAGCCUGAUCCAGCAAUACCGCGUGUGUGAAGAAGGCCUGCGGGUUGUAAAGCACUCUCAAUUGUGAAGAAAAGCCUGGGGUUAAUACCCUCGGGUCUUGACGUUAACUUUAGAAGAAGCACCGGCUAACUCCGUGCCAGCAGCCGCGGUAAUACGGAGGGUGCGAGCGUUAAUCGGAAUUACUGGGCGUAAAGCGUGCGUAGGCGGCUAGGUCAGUCAGAUGUGAAAGCCCCGGGCUUACCUGGGAACUGCAUUUGAUACUGCCUGGCUAGAGUAUGGUAGAGGGAAGUGGAAUUCCGGGUGUAGCGGUGAAAUGCGUAGAUAUCCGGAGGAACACCAGUGGCGAAGGCGACUUCCUGGACCAAUACUGACGCUGAGGUACGAAAGCGUGGGUAGCAAACAGGAUUAGAUACCCCAGUAGUC
rnacentral:rRNA from 1 species